GUGAAUAUAGUUUAAACAAAAUCUUAGGCUGUGACCCUAAAAACGAGGACUAAAUAUCCUCUAUUCACC
rnacentral:tRNA from 1 species